AUGCGCCAGAAAUAUGUUUCUUACCUGAACUCAAGCACUUGUUACUGGACAAUAAUGGCUUCUCUGGAGAAGUUCCCGAUGAAAUUGGAAACUUUUCCAAGCUGACCAUCAUGAGACUUGACAAAAAUCGAUUUGCUGGAUCACUGCUGAGCAGUUUGGGGCGGAUAUCAAC